rnacentral:rRNA from 1 species
AUGGGAGACCCGUCCGCCGCGCCGCUGGACCCCACGUUUGCCCACGUUCCUCUGGAUCCCGCUCUCCCGCGCCAGCCAGGAAUGAGAGGAUGGGGACAAGCCCCGCCGCCGUCCAGCCGGCCAGGCUUCGGCCGGCGGCGCUAUGGACGGCGGCGAGGAGGGGGAGAGGAGAAUGAGAGGCGGCGGCUAGGGUUUUCCCCCUCAGGUCGCCCGCGUGCGUGUGUGUGUGUAGUCGACGGCUAUGUAGCCGACUGCUGUGCUGAAGGUGUUGAGAAGCGCCAAUCCAGAGGCGUAGCAGUCAGCACAGCAGUCGGCUACCAACCCGUGUACUGCCCUCCGAUGCUUGACAUUUUGACCGAUCCAUCAUGCGCCCUCUGCACUGCAGUCCUCCUUCAUUCUGCCGUGCAUCGAGCUGACGGACGCGGAGGAAGCCAGGGUAAGCGCCCUCUGGAUUGGGAUGCUGUGCUGCGCCUCAUUACAGGCGGCCGCGGCGGCGCUGGCACUGCUGCUCCCAGGCCACCGUCGCUGGGCCCGCUGUGCGUCGCCUACCUCGCGCUCGCGGUCACCGUCCUCGACCAUUGCAUGUACGCCAGCACCGUUUGGGUCUUCCUCGCCGCCGACCCAGGAUUUAUCUUCGGCAAGAUCUACUUCACCACGGGCUUCUGCUUCUUCGUGGUGGGCGACCUCCUCAGCUUCCGGGCCCUCCUGGGAGGUGAUGGGUGCGGCAUGAAGUACGUAGCCUAUUUCUUCUGA